GAGCGAGCCCCCCACCCACGAGCCGUCAGCCCGCAUCUCUGGCAGCUCGCGCCUCUCUCCUCUGCUCCCCCGCUCCAGCCGCCUCUCCCCCGCUUCCCUCCCCUCCUCUCACAAACCCUAGCGCCGCCACACCCUGCGCAGCCGCUGCAUCCCUCCCCGCUCUCCACUCGACCGGCCCCAGAUCGAGCGGAUCGACGCCCAGAUCCGCAGCGGCACCGGCACGGGCGCGCCGUCGUCCAGCUGGUCCUCGAGGAUCGAUGGAUGGGGGUGGAACCCUAGCCCCACACCCACCCAUGGAUGACGACGGCAGCGGCCUUCUCUCGAUGGGGUGGGGAGCGAAGCUUCCUGAUGCGGUGGCCCUCGAUGCCUGCGACGGGCUGCAGCACCUAGACUUCAAAGUCAAAAGGAUGAGAGAUGGAGCUUGGGCCAACAAGCUCUGAGAAGAGCUGCUGUGUGCCUUCCAAACAUGUCUUUCUUGUGUCUGUCGGCCGGCCCCGAUGGAGCCUUGCAGCGGCUGGGCGUGACCAUGCUCUGCCUCCGCUGGUGAGAGCUGUGAGGAGUCAGAGAGGGAGAUUGAGGAGGAGGAAGAUGAUACACCCGGCAGCGCGACACAUGCGUCUCCCAACGGCGCUUGCAACGGGAGAUCCGUGGGGAGGGGGGUCGGGAGGAGGCCCCCAGCGGCGUGCUCGCACACGCAUUCCACGACGACCACAUCACCAGCGCCCCUGCCAUCCUCCUCCAAGCCCAUGGCCAGUGGCUCCCCAAGGCCAAGCUAUGUCAGGCUGCAGCAGCAAGGUGAGCCCCAUCACUCUGCGUUUAUUUCUUCAGAUCAUGCAGCAGCAAUGUGACUGAGGAAUCGAUGCUUUACAUAAUUGAUCAGUUAACUGGUAAUAUAUCUAUAGAAUAGCCAAGCAAAAAACAUUGCGUUUCCUAGAUGUUUCAUACGAUAUUAAAGUUGGAACCAGGCUAAUAGACAAAUUGUAUAUCCGAUUAUGCUAGAAAAAGGAGAAUAAAAAGUUUACUUUUAUGAUGGUAGGAUGUCUUCCUUAGUUUUGUUUCCUAUGUUCUCUCAAAAAAAAUCUGGGCUACACCAUCAGUAUCAACACCGGUAAAAAGAAUCCAAUCAAAACAUGAUGUUUUCCCCUUGGCUAUAUGUUUAUUUGAAGGAAACCAUUCAAUUCUCAGUGAUCUUUCAUUAUGCUCCUUAUUGCCAUUUUUCCUAAUGUGCCUAUAGAAGUGAUUUAUCAGGUGUUUUGAUAUAUUAUCUUAUAAGGGAAUGCCAAAGUUUUUUUGGAUUGUGAAUUCUCUGGUCAGAAUCGGUUGUUUUUCCCUUGUGUUCAUUUAUUUCUCAGAUUGCAGAACUGACGAGUGUAGACUAAGUUGAUGAUCUAUAGGUGUUGCUCCUCUCCCCUGAUGUGUAGUGCAACUAUAAAUAGGGAGAGAAUUGUGUGAGGAGAGCUCUCUUGCUACUGUUCUGAGCUCACUCUUUGACUAAUCUAAAUGUUGUCUCUGCUCACUGAUCGAUCAAGGAAGACACUGAUAUAUCAGCAAGGACCAGCACAAAAAGAAGACCAAUUAAGUUACUUGUGUUUAAGAGUACACUACUUUUGACUUUGGAGUCACACUGGUGCAUGGGGCGUCGCAUGGUCUAUGCUGGAGGUGUUCACAUAUAACAAGUUCACUAUUUGUUCCAUUGGUCAGUUGUAUAAUCUGUGGGCGUAUUUAAGUUGAACUAUGCUCCUUUCUUGGUAUUUGGAGACAAGAUACUGGCAGUUUUUACGUUACAAGACUGUUUAUUAGUUAUUUGUAGUUUUGUAACACUCUCCAUUGUCAAUGGUAGUUCAGAUUCUUCAGGAAGAAUGGGUCUUGUAUUUAUAUUAUUCAAUUGUGCAAUAAUAGAUAGAUAACAAAAGAUAGAUACUUAAGAAGUUUA